UGCAUCUGAAAUCAGUCAAGAACACCCGCUGAAUUUAAGCAUA
rnacentral:rRNA from 1 species